UUUUUUUUUUUUGGACCGGGAGAGAGCGAGGAGACACAAUGUAGGUAGCAAGAAGUCCCCGGUUCAGGUGCGGACCCGCCGACAUGGGCAACCAGAGGAUUUAUAACUGAAAUACAUUAUGAAAUUCUAGUUUCGGUUCCCAGCGAUUCUGUUAGUUGUAGAUUCUAAACUAAGAUUGUAUGGCGUUUUCCUUCACGCAGCAACUGAACUGAGUUCCAGAGAAAGGUGCUGUUUACCUAGCAUCAUCUUACCUUGGCUCAUGGUGACCCAAACCUCCGUGUAAAAUGAGAAAUCUUUCUACAGUCCAACUUACUUCCUAUGAGAAAUUGAAUGUGAAGGUCACUUCCUCAGGACUACUGAAGACUUUGAAAGGGACUAUGUUGGUCUUCCCUACGGAUGGAGGGUUUCCUGCGAUCUUAACCAUUCAACUGCCUCCUUCCCUGAAAGAAUUGAGCCAAGAUUCAGAUAAGAUUCUUCAGGCAGGUGAGAAGCUUGGGAAGAUAGAUUUAUGACCUUAGUUAGGGACUUGGCCGAACACCUAUGGGAAGACACUCAGCAUAAGAAACUACAUCUUUUCUUCUAGCAACUGUGCAUACCGACCGUCGAGAUCAAAACAGGCAGGGAAUUACUGGGUAGGCCUUAGGUGUCCAUGAGAUCCUGGGAUGGCAUGAGGCUCCAGGUAGACACAGGAGACUGCUCAGAACCUAGUUUCAACCUGGGAUAUUAUUAGACAUCAGUGAGACUCUGACAGAAGAAAAGGUACCGGUUACAUCCUCCUGACAGCAUGACACCUCAAAAAUAAUUUAGAGAAGGUAAUAGUCCCCUAAAAAUACCUGGGAAAAGCUUAGGACCCUAGAAACAUCAUAGAAAUGGAACAGGUUCCAGUGAGAAACUGGAGCAGGAUUGAGUCCAAGAGAGAACCAAGGAAAACAUUCAAGUCCAAGGAGGUCCUAAGGAAGACUUUAAGCCUUAAUGAGAAUCUAAGACAGACUUUAGAUCUGAACGAAAAUCUCUGGGAAGCCAUAGCCAUGAGUGAGAAGGAGGGGAAUGAUUUCUUCCUCAGUGAGAAUGUGGAAGACAGUUAGAACCAGUGAAAAACCACAGUUUGGAUUUGGUGAGGCCUUAGGUUUCCGUGAAUACCUUUUGAAAGCCUUGGGUUGCAGUAAGAACACCGAAAGCUCUUCUAUCCCAGGGAGGUAUUGCAGAAGACUUUUAAUGCUGUGUGAUCCUGGGGACAUUCUUAGACUGACAGAGAAUCUAGGCAAGAUCUUAGAUUCAACUUUCAAAUAUUGGCAUUGGAUUCUAUGUUCUAUAUAUGGUCUCAUUGUCUUAGGAAAUUAGAGCAACAAAUUGGCUCCAAACCUGGGGAUUAGACCCUAAGCAAUUUGAGGGAAAAUUCACUUCUCCCCAAAAUAUGCAACUAGCAGUAAUGUGGAAAUGAAACACCUAGUAGGUCUAACAAGUUUCUACAGAGCUACUGAGAAGCUCCCUCCCUAAGCCCCAUUCAAACCGUGGCAACAAGAGGCAGAAACACAUCCCAGAGCUGGGACUUAGCCAGCACCAAUGUCACAGCAUGUUUGAGGUUUUUGAGCCUAAAGAAGGACCAAGGACGCUGGGGCAGGACUUCCUGUGAAGCAUCAGAGCUUAGCAUCAAGAGGUGAAAAAAAUGGCAGCCGACUUUCCAAAGGCUUCUCCCAGGUCCAGCAGGCUGAUCAGGACAGAGAAGAACCAGACCUGCUCUACAGACUGUGUACACUGCAGGCUGCUGGAGAUCGCUGCCCAUGCUGCCAUCAGCUCUGCAAACACAAGAGUUGCCUCAUAAGCCCAGAUGCUGUGGGUCCUUCUCCAGUUAGCUCCUCCCUGCCAGUGAAAGAAUUGGAGAGUACUACAGUGUCCUGAGUUGAACACUAGAGGGAGACAAAGGCACAAAAAGCUGGAAUAAGCUUCUUGUGACUUUCAAGAACUCUCUCGGAUCCAGAGGACCCACUCUGUUUGUACAGGAAGGAGCUCCCUUUGCUGAUUCAUGGGUGGUGUCUGCCAGAUGGAUGGACUGGACAGAAACUGCAGCUUGAUGUUUCCUGGACUGCUGAAGACUUUGAAAGGGACUAUGUUGGUCUUCCCUACGGAUGGAGGGUUUCCUGCGAUCUUAACCAUUCAACUGCCUCCUUCCAUGAAAUAAUUGAGCCAAGAUUCAGAUAAGAUUCUUCAGGCAGGUGAGAUGCUUGGGAAGGUAGAUUUUUGACCUUAGUUAGGAACUUGGCCGAACACCUAUGGGAAGACACUCAGCAUAAGAAACUACAUCUUUUCUUCUAGCAACUGUGCAUACCGACCGUCGAGAUCAAAACAGGCAGGGAAUUACUGGGUAGGCCUUAGGUGUCCAUGAGAUCCUGGGAUGGCAUGAGGCUCCAGGUAGACACAGGAGACUGCUCAGAACCUAGUUUCAACCUGGGAUAUUAUUAGACAUCAGUGAGACUCUGACAGAAGAAAAGGUACCAGUUACAUCCUCCUGACAGCAUGACACCUCAAUGAUAAUUUAGAGAAGGUAAUAGUCCCCUAAAAAUACCGGGGAAAAACUUUGGACCCUGGAAACAUCAUAGAAAUGGAACAGGUUCCAGUGAGACCCUGGAGCAGGAUUGAGUCCAAGAGAGAACCAAGGAAAACAUUCAAGUCCAAGGAGGUCCUAAGGAAGACUUUAAGCCUUAAUGAGAAUCUAAGACAGACUUUAGAUCCGAAGGAAAAUCUCUGGGAAGCCAUAGCCAUGAGUGAGAAGGAGGGGAAUGAUUUCUUCCUCAGUGAGAAUGUGGAAGACUGUUAGAACCAGUGAAAAAACACAGUUUGGAUUUGGUGAGGCCUUAGGUUUCUGUGAAUACCUUUUGAAAGCCUUGGGUUGCAGUAAGAACACCAAAAGCUCUUCUAUGCCAGGGAUGUAUUGGAGAAGACUUUAAACGCUGUGUGAUCCUGGGGACAUUCUUAGACCUGACAGAGAAUCUAGGCAAAACCUUAGGUUCAACUUUGCAAUAUUGUAGGACACAGAUCGAACCCUGUCAAGGCCUGAGAUCUUGUGUUUCUCAGGAAGGCCUAACAUACCAGUGUAAUCUUUCCAGAAGUUGACGACACACCGAGAAUCUCUAAGAUCCUUUCUGUUUCACAAAGAAACUAGGGAAGACAGGAGGUCUCAAUAACACUUUGAAGAAGGCCUUUAGCCACAUGGAGAUCUUUUGGAAUGUUGGACGUCGUAUUUCGAACAUGAAGAAAGCCUUCAUUCCCUGUGAAAAUCUCGGAUGGGUUCCUAGACUGCAAUAGAAGUUAAGAAAUAUAUCGGCCCACUUGAUACCCUGUGCAUAGGCUCUAGCAAGAUGCUGUGCAAGGAAUUAGGCCACAGAUACGACUUUGGAAAGCUGUAGGCCACAGGGGUAACCUGGGAAUUCUUGUGGGCCUUGGACCAUAGGCUUCAUUGUGUCUUUGGAGGGAGGUCUUAAAGCAUACGUAGUGUUCCCAUUUAAAUUAUCCAGUCCUGCUUUUUGUAUUGUGAUGCUAAUUCUGCCCCCAGACAGCAGACCACAAAAUACCCAGGUGAUUUCAUGGGAACCGUCUUCCUAUAUUAACCUGUCAAUAAAUCUAGAGCUUCUGAUCGGAGACUAGAAGGGAAAGGUGAGACUGGAGGUUUGACGGUGGUAGCAGCUGGAGAGAGGGAAGGGCAAAAAAUCAAGGAGAGCGGCCUGUAGAGGAGGAGCUGAGAUCGACCUGAUUGCAUUGGAUUCUAUGUUCUAUAUAUGGUCUCAUUGGCUUUGGAAAUUAGAGCAACAAAUUGGCUCCAAACCUGGGGAUUAGAACCCAAGCAACUUGAGGGAAAAUUCACUCCUCCCCACUAUAGGCAAGUAGGGCUGGGCUGUAAAGUUGCCUUGGGGUGAAAAUGAAACACCUAGUGGGUCUACAAGGUUCUAUACAUCUACUGAGAAUCUCCCUCCCUAAGCCCCAUUUAGACCAUGACAGUAACCCAUCUCUGAGUUCAGACUUACCCCAGUACCAAUGUCACAACAUAGUUGGGGUUCGUUGAGCCUAAA
rnacentral:sRNA from 1 species